GAAGAAUACGAGAUGGUGCACGAGCCAAUGUUCGACUCCAUUUUGCUGAUUAAAGCUUUCAUUGUCCUCCGAUUAAAGCGAUGAGGGAGAUUGAAACUUUGAGAUAAAUGUGGAAGGGAGUCGGGGUCUUUGGUCUACAGCAGCACUCAAACUGCGGUUCUGCAGUUUCCCUGUUGUUGGAGCUCACCGAUUGGCUGUGUUUCGACUCUUGUCUCCCCUCUCGCUGUGGAAGGAGUGAUUUCUGUUUCUCCUUUGUUAGUGAGAGAGAGAGCUGAUGAACGCUGGAGUGAGCAGUCAGUUUUUGAUGUACUGUGGACCAUGGUCUCUCUUUGGGAGCUUUGCUGUUGCUGGCAUGGGGCCGUGGACAAUUCUGAUUUGAUGGAGACGGACAAGAAAGCACAGAGGAACAUCUGGAGAAAUUUCUGAAACGCUCGUUCGCUGCUGUCGUUACUGCGCGGUCAGGAGUCUUUCGGAGGGAAGGCCUCAAAAUCCCUGGCCUUGCCUGCUUUUGGCGACCGAGAAGGAGGUCGAAUCAUUCAGAUAGUGAUGGCGUUCAGUACUCGGUGUCGGAGAGCUGAUCAGAGCUCGAAGUUUUUGGAUGACUCAGAGAUGGACCGUGGUCGGGUAUGGGAGGGAGAGUUUUUCUUCCUUCUCUCCGUUUGCGUGAGGUGUGGGACAUUUGAGAGACUUUACUGUGCUCAUGGACUUUACUGUGCUCAUGGACUUCAGCAAGUUAUGGUAUUGUUGCACUGUUGUAACUAUAUGUUAUAAUUAUGUGGUUUUGUUAGUUUUUUUGCA